GGCUCAGAUUGAACGCUGGCGGCAUGCCUUACACAUGCAAGUCGAACGGCAGCACGGGAGCAAUCCUGGUGGCGAGUGGCGAACGGGUGAGUAAUAUAUCGGAACGUGCCCAGUCGUGGGGGAUAACGCAGCGAAAGAGUGGCUAAUACCGCAUACGAUCUACGGAUGAAAGCGGGGGACCUUAGGGCCUCGCGCGAUUGGAGCGGCCGAUAUCAGAUUAGGUAGUUGGUGGGGUAAAGGCCUACCAAGCCGACGAUCUGUAGCUGGUCUGAGAGGACGACCAGCCACACUGGGACUGAGACACGGCCCAGACUCCUACGGGAGGCAGCAGUGGGGAAUUUUGGACAAUGGACGCAAGUCUGAUCCAGCAAUGCCGCGUGCAGGACGAAGGCCUUCGGGUUGUAAACUGCUUUUGUACAGAACGAAAAGGCUCUGGUUAAUACCUGGGGCUCAUGACGGUACUGUAAGAAUAAGCACCGGCUAACUACGUG
rnacentral:rRNA from 1 species